GAGCAACAAGUCUGUUAAACGCCGAGUCUGAAUUUUAUCCUAUUGCUGCAGGAUACAUUGAGCAAGGUAUUUGAAGUUAAAAAGCACCACGUCCACUGACAAGACCACCCGGAUACACGUGCUCACAGACCCACCAAGGACCAUCUGCACCCGAAGCCACGACAACGUGCUGAAUGGGAUCUGUGCUGAGGGCAACCUGGUGGCGGCCGCCUCUGGGGGCCUGUCGCUGGAAGUCUGGAGGCUCCAGGCCUGAGCAGGCAGACAUGGAUAUGGAUGUGGAUCUGCUGGCCGGCAGGCUGGGUCAAGGCCUCUGUUCUCGGGGGUGGGGGGACUCCCCUUUUCUGGUGAUGCCCCAGGCUCAGGCUUGGGGCACAAGGACUCGAGGCCACUGUUGGGCAAGUCCCUGGUCUGUGCUCCAUGUUCCAGCCCACCCUCAGGUGCUGUUUAUGAUUGGACGCCUGCUUUCCCUUGAGAGCAAAGGGGAAAUAAACCUAAUGUACUGG